ensembl:miRNA MIR497 microRNA 497
UCAGCGGUGCCUCCCCCACCCUCGCUCUAACACCACAGUGUGGUUUGGACGUGGCCACAGUGCCGUACAAACCACAGUGUGCUGCUGGGGCGGGGGCAGGACGGGUGGGUUGAGAGGAAUAGA